CCUACGGGAGGCAGCAGUGAGGAAUAUUGGUCAAUGGCCGGAAGGCUGAACCAGCCAUGCCGCGUGAAGGUCAGUGCCCUAUGGGCGUUAAACUUCUUUUGUGCGGGAGCAAUAAUGGUCACGUGUGGCCAGACGAGAGUACCGUACGAAUAAGCAUCGGCUAACUCCGUGCCAGCAGCCGCGGGAAUACGGGGGAUGGAAGCGUUAUCCGGAUUUAUGUGGUUGAAAGGGUGCGUAGGCUGGGAGGUAAGUCAGCGGGGAAAUGCCCCCGCUCAACGGGGUGAAGUGCCAUUGAUACUGCCUUGCUGGAGUGCGGAUGCGGUGGGAGGAAUGUGUGGUGUAGCGGUGAAAUGCAUAGAUAUCACACAGAACACCGAUUGCGAAGGCAUCUCACGAAUCCGCGAUUGACGCUGAUGCACGAAAGCGUGGGUAUCAAACAGGAUUAGAUACCCGAGUAGUC
rnacentral:rRNA from 1 species